rnacentral:rRNA from 1 species
AGUGAACGCUGGCGGCGUGCUUAACACAUGCAAGUCGAACGAGAACGGAUUAUAGCUUGCUAUAAUUGUCAGCUAAGUGGCGCACGGGUGAGUAAUGUAUAGGUAAUAUGCCUCUUACUAAGGGAUAACAAAUGGAAACGUUUGCUAAUACCUUAUACUCCUUAUUAACAGAAGUUAAUAAGGGAAAGAUUUAUUGGUAAGAGAUUAGCCUGUAUUGUAUCAGUUAGUUGGUGGGGUAAUGGCUUACCAAGACUAUGACACAUAACUGGUUUGAGAGGAUGAUCAGUCACACUGGAACUGAGACACGGUCCAGACUCCUACGGGAGGCAGCAGUGGGGAAUAUUGCACAAUGGACGAAAGUCUGAUGCAGCAACGCCGCGUGGAGGAUGACACAUUUCGGUGCGUAAACUCCUUUUAUAUGAGAAGAUAAUGACGGUAUUAUAUGAAUAAGCAACCGGCUAAACUCCGUGCCAGCAG